GCUGCCCCUAGAGGCAUCGCAGGUGUGGCUGCUGUGUCACGUGUGCAUCUGUAGGUGGCAGAGAGGAGAGCGCUGUGUCUGUGCUCAGUGAUCACCUAUGAACAUCUGAACGAUUAGUACCUUUGUUUU